UAUUUUUUUAUUAUUUCAGCUAUAUGUUUAUUUGUGGAUAGCUUCUUGUCUGUAACCUGUCACCAUUUGUUGUUUUUGUUCUCCGCCAGGUUGUUGAAUGUUCUGGAGGUGAUUGCACCCUUCAAGCACUUUAACAAACUCCGGGAGUUUGUUCAGAUGAAGCUCCCCCCUGGCUUUCCUGUCAAACUGGACAUCCCUGUCUUCCCUACGAUCACAGCCACCGUGACGUUUCAGGAGUUUCGAUAUGAUGAGUUUGAUCAGUCCAUUUUUACCAUUCCCAACGACUAUAAAGAAGACCCUAGCCGCUUCCCUGAUCUUUAACCUCUUGAGCUGGAACAGCAAACCAACGUGCAGCAAGACAACAUUAUGCUACAAAACAUACAUUUCAAAUUACAAAAGGAAAAAUGGAGGGAAAAAAACUGCAGUAAUUGUUCCUUGACAGUUUAUGGAUUUCCAUCGCCCAUCCCAACCCUGAAUACACACUAAAACUGCGCCAUCAGAGCUGAGGGAGGCCAGCUGUGACAGAGAGGUCGACAGAAGAAGCUCUUAGAUUUGGUUAAAUCCGAAAGUGCAACUAACUUGGAGCUGAGAGUCUGAACCUCUCAUCGGUGAGAGGGCAUUAAAUUUAAAAUGAGUGACCGCGGAGUAGGUGAGUUUUCUACAUAGGUAGAAGACAAACAACCAGUUCAGUCGUUGCUAUGUAUUUAAGUAUGUAAGUAAUGUUUAUAAAGGGAAUGUGUUUAACUUACCUGUAGUAAAGCACUGAUAUUACUGUGUGAGACAGGAAUUCCACCAAAAAAAAAGUGGUGUAACUUAAAAUUUGCAACACUAAUAACCAGUUUUUGGAAAAUGCAGUUUUGGAAGUUGCGUCUUGUUUAGGUCAGCUUUUGUAGAAUUCCUUAAAGAAUUCCGUGUGUGCGUGUGCGUGUGCGUGUGCGUGUGCGUGUGCGUGCGUGUGUGUGUGUGUGUGUGUGAGAGAUUUUUAUGGGCAUGGAGUAGAAUCACUGAGCGUUCACGCACUAAUUAGAUCCACUACAUCCACUACAACUCGACUCAUUUUGUGAUACUCAACCCUUAAUCCUGCAUUUGAAAUAUUAUAGUGUCAUUGAAGCAAAGCUAGAAAUGCUUCACUUCUCAUGGUACCACUAAGUUUUCUCUUAGUUGUUGGACUGGCAGCACGUGCAAGUAAUGUCUUUUGUUUCAUACUAAACCUUUUGUAAAUGUUGUAACAAACUACAAUUGUUCUGAAAGAAGAGAUCUGGGGAUUGUAUAGGAAGCAGAAUGACUGACUACAACAGUCAUGCCAUUUUUACACUAUAACAAGAAAAAGGUUUUAUCCCUGCACAGAAUGUAAAUACAUGUUUUAUGAGCUUUUGUCUUUUAAGUUAUUUUUCUUGUUCUUAUUAUUUGUGCUGAUGAGUUGAAUGUGGAUUUUUUUUUAAUGUAUCACAACAAGUUAAUUGAGAGUUUGUUGAUUUGUAAUGCAAUGGCAGUUUCUAUUUUUGUAUAUACUUGUAAUGUUUUAAAGGAAAAAAUAAUCUAUUAAUUCUUCUGUCAUUAUUUCACUUUCAACUAUAUCUGAUAAAACUUUUGAACCUCCUCCAGAUGUGUUAAACAAUCAAUCACCUCUACAGGGUGAAAAGUACAAAGCACCAAGCUUCCUCCUGAAAUUAAGUCCAGGGUGUUGGCUGGAGGCUAGAAAAAAGUUAAACUCUUAGGUGUUGUGCUCAUGUUUGUUUGUUAACUUGCCUGGCUGCUACUGGAUUUUAAAAAGAAGGUGUACUACACAGAUGUGGUGGCUCAAAGUGUUGUUAAAUCAGUUAGCUUUUUUUUUUUACAUCCAUAUUCAGUAUCAUUAUAACCCAAUACAAUACAUUUAAUUUUUCCACAUUACAUUCCUCCUCAUGCCAAGUGCAGCUAACGUUAGUGGAAGUGUGCCUCCUCACUGUUAACGCUCCUCUUUAUUUCAUGCUCCUUCCUGUUUUCAGCUGCUUGGAUUUUCCGUGUUUUCAGUAGGGAAUUCAUCUACAUGUCCUUUGUACAGCAAAAACUGUUGUAUAACUCUGCGACACUAUUUUCAUAUAAAAUGUAUUAAAAUAAAAAUUCCAGAUA